GAUGAACGCUGGCGGCGUGCCUAAUACAUGCAAGUCGAGCGAACGGACGAGAAGCUUGCUUCUCUGAUGUUAGCGGCGGACGGGUGAGUAACACGUGGAUAACCUACCUAUAAGACUGGGAUAACUUCGGGAAACCGGAGCUAAUACCGGAUAAUAUUUUGAACCGCAUGGUUCAAAAGUGAAAGACGGUCUUGCUGUCACUUAUAGAUGGAUCCGCGCUGCAUUAGCUAGUUGGUAAGGUAACGGCUUACCAAGGCAACGAUGCAUAGCCGACCUGAGAGGGUGAUCGGCCACACUGGAACUGAGACACGGUCCAGACUCCUACGGGAGGCAGCAGUAGGGAAUCUUCCGCAAUGGGCGAAAGCCUGACGGAGCAACGCCGCGUGAGUGAUGAAGGUCUUCGGAUCGUAAAACUCUGUUAUUAGGGAAGAACAUAUGUGUAAGUAACUGUGCACAUCUUGACGGUACCUAAUCAGAAAGCCACGGCUAACUACGUGCCAGCAGCCGCGGUAAUACGUAGGUGGCAAGCGUUAUCCGGAAUUAUUGGGCGUNAAGCGCGCGUAGGCGGUUUUUUAGUCUGAUGUGAAAGCCCACGGCUCAACCGUGGAGGGUCAUUGGAAACUGGAAAACUUGAGUGCAGAAGAGGAAAGUGGAAUUCCAUGUGUAGCGGUGAAAUGCGCAGAGAUAUGGAGGAACACCAGUGGCGAAGGCGACUUUCUGGUCUGUAACUGACGCUGAUGUGCGAAAGCGUGGGGAUCAAACAGGAUUAGAUACCCUGGUAGUCCACGCCGUAAACGAUGAGUGCUAAGUGUUAGGGGGUUUCCGCCCCUUAGUGCUGCAGCUAACGCAUUAAGCACUCCGCCUGGGGAGUACGACCGCAAGGUUGAAACUCAAAGGAAUUGACGGGGACCCGCACAAGCGGUGGAGCAUGUGGUUUAAUUCGAAGCAACGCGAAGAACCUUACCAAAUCUUGACAUCCUUUGACAACUCUAGAGAUAGAGCCUUCCCCUUCGGGGGACAAAGUGACAGGUGGUGCAUGGUUGUCGUCAGCUCGUGUCGUGAGAUGUUGGGUUAAGUCCCGCAACGAGCGCAACCCUUAAGCUUAGUUGCCAUCAUUAAGUUGGGCACUCUAAGUUGACUGCCGGUGACAAACCGGAGGAAGGUGGGGAUGACGUCAAAUCAUCAUGCCCCUUAUGAUUUGGGCUACACACGUGCUACAAUGGACAAUACAAAGGGCAGCGAAACCGCGAGGUCAAGCAAAUCCCAUAAAGUUGUUCUCAGUUCGGAUUGUAGUCUGCAACUCGACUACAUGAAGCUGGAAUCGCUAGUAAUCGUAGAUCAGCAUGCUACGGUGAAUACGUUCCCGGGUCU
rnacentral:rRNA from 1 species